GUCUGUGUCCCCUUCUCUAGCGAGGAGGGGCCUCUGGGAGCGCUGGCUUCUCAUCACACAUGCCAACUGGCUGCUGCCAGCUGCCUGCUGCUUACCGAUGAGACAUGAGCACUGUGAUGGGUUCGGCUGAUGAGAGGAUGGGUACCAGCUUGCCUGGGCCAACUUAUGUCUAGGACCUUGAGGCCGAUGGCCUGGAGGAUCCGCUGGACAAAAGGAGACUAGAAAACUCUGUGAAAGGGGACCGCCCCUGCCCCCGGCCCCGCAGUCCGCUAGAGGAGAGGAGCGGACGGAAGGGCUGGGCUCAGGACAUGGCAGCCCGGAGUGGGUGUGAUGGGUGAGGCCCAGAGGACAUACCUGUUACCGGGGCGCUGCAUCCCUGCAGGCCAGGGCGGAGCAGAGAAAAGGCCAUGGGGUCUCGAGUAACUGCUGAAAGUCGGGGCAAGGUCCUCUGCCCUCUGCCUUCAAGAUGAGUUUCCUCUCACGGCUGCCUCCAAGCUGAGCAGUCGUUUAUGACCAUGUGCCAUCUGGGCCCUGCCACGCUCUCACGGCUGGAAGCAGAUGUCCCACCCCUGUUUGAAGACAAAGAUUUUGGUCCAGCGAAAACAUAGGCAUGCGGUCAAAGGUUCUGGUUACGUGAAAACGUUCGUUCUCACCGAUGGACAGAAGACGAAGUGCAUUCCCAGGGUGAAGGUGAGCGCUGGCUGCUUCGUCCUUGGCAGAAUCCCAGUGAGAAUUCCAAGGGCCAGGGAGACUCGCGCGUCAGGAACUAGAGCGGUGCGCGUGACUUCAGGGGGGUGUCCCUGUGUGACGGGUCCGGCGAAUGUGCUGUGGUGCGGGACCGUUACACUGGAGACGCGUUUGUGAACCAUUAUGUUUAAGUCUCUUUGCUUUAUGGGAAAGUUCGAUGGGUUUAUCUUUAAGAGGUCCUAUGAUAUUGGGGUGAGAGGGGCCAAAUUCAUGUUGACUUUUUUUUCUUUUUAUGGUCACACCGGCAGCACAUGGAAGCUGCUGGGCUACGGGUUGAAUCAGAGCUGCAGCUGUGACCUACACCACAGGCACAAAACGCUGGAUCCUUAACCCACUGAGUGAGGAGAUGGGUCAGACCUGUAUCCUCACAGAGACAGCGUCAGGUCCUUAACCCUCUGAACCACGUCGGGAACUCCCAGGUGUAGUUGACUUUUGAUAGUUAACCCUUAAAACCCAAACAGGAUGGAGCAGGUCAGAGAUGGUGCCGACACAGAAGAGCUCCCAAAGAAGCCACUGCCUCAGCUGCCCCCAACCUGCUCACAGGGCUGGUGGUUCCUACGUCCCCAUGUCCCCAGCUUUGUGGGCUGGUCCCCAGCAGCCCUCCAGGGUCCCCUCUGCCUUCCUGCUGAACUUUGAAUCUGGUUUUCACAUGCCGUCUGCUGCCUCGACUCUGGUAAAUAGAUGGACUCAUGCUUCUCACACUGGCUGAAGCCAGUGCCACGGUUCUAGACCCCUGGUUCCCGAGGUGGGGGACCUGGCCCUAAGCCAGGGUGUUUAGACUGUGGUCCUGCUGAAAUAGGCUGAUAAGCAGGUGGCUGGUCACCAUGGAAACAGGACAAUGGGGAGCCAGGGACACUCCUCGGCUGCAAAGUUUUCUCCACUCUGUCUCCCAGCUCUUUCACUGAAUUUAAAAAAUUUCUGCUUUCAUGCUAUUAAUUUUCAAGAGCUGUUUUUUGUUCUCAAAAUUUUUUUUUGUGCAUAUUUUUCAUCUUGCGCAUAUUCCUUUUGAAAAAGUUCUUGAACGUUGUGUUUUCUGGAUGCACUCUUUUCAUGCUCUCUGAUCCUGUUAAUGAAAUCACGCGGGAUGUUUCCAGACAAAGUUGGCACUAUUUUGGACUGUGUCCUUCAGAGUAAGAUAUUUCUCAAAGGUUGGAGCAGAGUGCAUUUUAUGGAGGAAGCCAAGUUUUUUUUUUUUUUUAGGGUAAUCUUUUCAUCAGAAUAUGACUUAUCCCCAUCGUCUG
rnacentral:lncRNA from 9 species